ACAACGGUUAAGACAUCUUAGAUCUGAUCUGAACUGAACUGUGCGGUCAACGACCACAAAACUCUAGAUAUUAAUAACAAAGUUUGCGUACCAGUCGUAGACGGUGGGAGCGUUUGGGUGAGAGGGCUUGUCGAAGAGGUUAGUACCCAUUCCUCUGGUGGCGAUGUUACUUCCUGGAUGAAACACACUCCUCCACACGUUCUCUUUACGUGCAGAUCCUGGCGUCGUUGGAGUUCCAGGACUCCCGGCCACCGCAGGCAUAGCCUUGCUGCUGCUCCCUUCUCCU
rnacentral:lncRNA from 1 species